rnacentral:rRNA from 1 species
GUAUAAACCCAUGUAACCCUGAACACCCUCAAUCUCAUCUGGUCUUGAAAGCUAAGCAGGGUCAGGCCUUGUUAGUACUUGGAUGGAAGACAGAUCUUAAAAAGAGACUGCU